AGAGUUUGAUCCUGGCUCAGAUUGAACGCUGGCGGCAUGCCUUACACAUGCAAGUCGAACGGCAGCACAGGUGCUUGCCCGGGUGGCGAGUGGCGAACGGGUGAGUAACACAUCGGAACGUGUCCUGGAGUGGGGGAUAGGCCGGCGAAAGCCGGGUUAAUACCGCAUACGAUCUGAGGAUGAAAGCGGGGGACCUUCGGGCCUCGCGCUCAAGGAGCGGCCGAUGGCGGAUUAGCUAGUUGGUGGGGUAAAGGCCCACCAAGGCGACGAUCCGUAGCUGGUCUGAGAGGACGACCAGCCACACUGGGACUGAGACACGGCCCAGACUCCUACGGGAGGCAGCAGUGGGGGAAUUUUGGACAAUGGGGGCAACCCUGAUCCAGCAAUGCCGCGUGUGUGAAGAAGGCCUUCGGGUUGUAAAGCACUUUUGUCCGGAAAGAAACUUCGUCCCUAAUAUGGAUGGAGGAUGACGGUACCGGAAGAAUAAGCACCGGCUAACUACGUGCCAGCAGCCGCGGUAAUACGUAGGGUGCGAGCGUUAAUCGGAAUUACUGGGCGUAAAGCGUGCGCAGGCGGUGAUGUAAGACCGAUGUGAAAUCCCCGGGCUUAACCUGGGAACUGCAUUGGUGACUGCAUCGCUGGAGUAUGGCAGAGGGGGGUGGAAUUCCCGUGUAGCAGUGAAAUGCGUAGAGAUGUGGAGGAACACCGAUGGCGAAGGCAGCCCCCUGGGCCAAUACUGACGCUCAUGCACGAAAGCGUGGGGAGCAAACAGGAUUAGAUACCCUAGUAGUCC
rnacentral:rRNA from 1 species